GCCGAUCCACACGCGACCUCUUGACUUCAAGAAAAAAUAAGUCGGCGAUUUAACACGUUGUUGAUUGAAAGGUUGUUGUACAUCGUUGCUGUUCGAUGUCACGAAUUUUAAAUUGAUGCAAGCUCCUGGCUGGAAUGGGGAAAAGGAAGCCCUGCCGAUUGCGGAUGACAUCGAGCACAAGGUGAGAAUCCAAAAUCCGUCUUUUCUCUUCAAGGAUCGAGCCAGUACAGGAGAGCUGUUAGCAUGUUAGCGUGUAAGGUGCCGCCCGUCGCAGUGGUCGCGCACACAAUUUUGCCCUCAAGUGCAGCUACUGUAGAGACGUUCUGUCAAGCGGUGUGACCCCCUCCCCGUCCACGCCAAAUGUGUUUGUGGCCCCUCAAGGCCCGCCAAAGCUUGCUGUUGUGGUCAGCCAGAUGUUUACAUCCAGAGCUGAGGAAUUGAUGGCUACAGCGGGACUCUUCUGUCAGCGCUGAUUUAUUUUUGUCUUCUUUUUUUUUCCUCCUAGUCAAGACGUGGACAAAAUGACUUUCGUAGAAAAUGUCCUCAUAAGGGAGGAUAUAGGCGGACAAAAAAAAAAAUCAAUGUCCCUCUAGGACAGUGCUUCUCAAUUAUUUUCUGCUCCGCCCCGCCCCCCACAAUAAGAAGAAAACAAUACACGCCCCCCUCCCACUCUCUGCCGCCACGAUAAAUAUAAUUUCUCUCUCAAAUUGUCAUCAGUAUAACUCUGCAUUACAUUGUAUCCUUAUUAACAUUAAAGAAAAGAAAGAAAAAUAUAGUUCCACUUACAGCAAAGAAUAACUCGAUUAAUAUAUAUAUUUUUUUAGUCUGUAAGAGAAAAGAUUUUAAGUGCAUCAAUUUGCAUG